CGGACGGGUGAGUAACGCGUGGAAAACCUGCCGUAUACUGGGGGAUAACACUUAGAAAUAGGUGCUAAUACCGCAUAAGCGCACAGCCUCGCAUGAAGCGGUGUGAAAAACUCUGGUGGUAUACGAUGGUUCCGCGUCUGAUUAGCUAGUUGGUGGGGUAAUGGCCUACCAAGGCAACGAUCAGUAGCCGGCCUGAGAGGGUGAACGGCCACAUUGGGACUGAGACACGGCCCAAACUCCUACGGAAGGCAGCAG
rnacentral:rRNA from 1 species